rnacentral:rRNA from 1 species
ACACGACUACAUUAGAUACCCCCGUAGUCCUGGCCGUAAACGAUACUCGCUAGGUGUCGGCCACGGUGCGACCGUUGUCGGUGCCGUAGGGACGCCGUGAAGCGAGCCACCUGGGAAGUACGGCCGCAAGGCUGAAACUUAAAGGAAUUGGCGGGGGAGCACAACAACGGGUGGAGCUUGCGGUUUAAUUGGAUUCAACGCCGGAAAUCUUACCGGGACCGACAGCAACAUGAAGGCCAAGCUGAAGACUUUGCCGGAUUAGCUG